UACGAAGGGGGCUAGCGUUGUUCGGAUUUACUGGGCGUAAAGCGCACGUAGGCGGAUCGUUAAGUCGGGGGUGAAAUCCUGGAGCUCAACUCCAGGACUGCCUUCGACACUGGCGAUCUUGAGUCCGGAAGAGGUGAGUGGAACUCCUAGUGUAGAGGUGGAAUUCGUAGAUAUUAGGAAGAACACCAGUGGCGAAGGCGGCUCACUGGUCCGGUACUGACGCUGAGGUGCGAAAGCGUGGGGAGCAAACAGG
rnacentral:rRNA from 1 species